GACAAGAUGGCCGAGUGGUCUAAGGCGUGUGACUCAAGUUCUCAUAGCGAAAGCUGCGUGGGUUCGAAUCCCACUCUUGUCA